GGUCGUAUAGUGUAGUUGGUUAUCACACCAGGUUCUGAUUCGAGAAUCGUCUCCUGGUGGCCUGGGUUCGAAUCCCAGUAGGACCU
rfam:Gaeumannomyces graminis var. tritici R3-111a-1 unplaced genomic scaffold supercont2.2, whole genome shotgun sequence.